GGAGAGGUACCGAAGUGGUCAUAACGGGGCCGUCUCGAAAGCGGUUAGACCCGCAAGGGUCACGUGGGUUCGAAUCCCACCCUCUCCG
rnacentral:tRNA from 1 species